rnacentral:rRNA from 1 species
GAUGAACGCUGGCGGCGUGCCUAAUACAUGCAAGUCGAGCGAACAGACGAGGAGCUUGCUCCUCUGACGUUAGCGGCGGACGGGUGUGUAACACGUGGAUAACCUACCUAUAAGACUGGGAUAACUUCGGGAAACCGGAGCUAAUACCGGAUAAUAUAUUGAACCGCAUGGUUCAAUAGUGAAAGACGGUUUUGCUGUCACUUAUAGAUGGAUCCGCGCCGCAUUAGCUAGUUGGUAAGGUAACGGCUUACCAAGGCAACGAUGCGUAGCCGACCUGAGAGGGUGAUCGGCCACACUGGAACUGAGACACGGUCCAGACUCCUACGGGAGGCAGCAGUAGGGAAUCUUCCGCAAAGGGCGAAAGCCUGACGGAGCAACGCCGCGUGAGUGAUGAAGGUCUUCGGAUCGUAAAACUCUGUUAUUAGGGAAGAACAAAUGUGUAAGUAACUAUGCACGUCUUGACGGUACCUAAUCAGAAAGCCACGGCUAACUACGUG